rnacentral:rRNA from 1 species
UGCCAGCAGCCGCGGUAAGACGAAGGUGGCGAGCGUUGCUCGGAAUUACUGGGCAUAAAGCGCACGUAGGUGGCGAGGUAAGCGAGAAAUGAAAUCCCAUGGCUCACCCAUGGAACUGUUUCUCGAACUGCCUUGCUUGAGGGUGAGAGGGGAGAGUGGAAUUCCUGGUGUAGCGGUGAAAUGCGUAGAUAUCAGGAGGAACACCGGUGGCGAAAGCGACUCUCUGGCUCAUUCCUGACACUGAGGUGCGAAAGCUAGGGGAGCAAACAGGAUUAGAUA